rnacentral:lncRNA from 1 species
GCAAAUCUUGUUUGUAUAAGCGGCUAUGGUACAAUGUGGCUGUUUUAGCCAGGACUGCAUCUAAUCCAGGAUAGAUGCCAAUGUCAUGCUGUUUUGCAUUCGUAGUCAAUAUCAAAGCAAGAAUUGUUAUCUGAUGACAACUUACAUGAAGUAUACAUGGUCUGACUGAAGUGUGCAAGUCCAUGUCAUCAGUAUACUGACAUGACUCUAGUACAUGACUUUUCUUUUUCUUUUUUGCGAACAAGUACAUGACAUUUCUUGCUUGCUUUCGCAGCUGUAAAUACUAAGAAAAUAUAUUUACAAAUGACAUGCUUCACCAAUCAAUGGGAGCUUGAACAAAUGCACUCGAUUAAGCAAUUCAGGUCUACAACUCUUUACAUUGAAGAUAGGAAGUCCUGAGUCGUCAACCUUUCUUUAUAAAUUGAUUAACUCAUGAAAAGGGUUUGGAAAACUUGAGCCUAGAGACAUGGAAGGCUAACGGCUCACUGAUACAAACUUAAGACCUGCAAAAAUUCAGAUGAUGAAUGCAAUUGCAAUGACAAAAUUCGUCAUGCCCAAAAUUGACCAAAAAAUCCUGUAGUAAGCAUGC